rnacentral:lncRNA from 1 species
UCCAAGAUCUGAGCUCUAACUUCAUCCCCUUUGACGAUGAUGAAGAGGAGGUGGAAGAAGAGGAAGAGACAUAUGAUGACAUUGAACGAGCUACCACACCACCACCACCACGUCCUGGGCCAGCAUCUGCUCCAGUUACAACCCCGAGUCUGGGACAAACCCCCCAAAGCAGCCGCAAGGAAUGGAAGGACCAAGCAGAGGCUCAGGAAGAUGAAGAAGAGGAUGAAGAGGACAUUUAUGAAGUGCUUCCAGAUGAUGAAAAUACUGACAAUGCUGAAGAGUGGAGUGAAAAGCCUGGGUCUUCAGAUUAUGCAAAUUAUUACCAAGGCUUGUGGGAUUGUGAAGCUGAUAGACCUGAUGAGUUGGCCUUCCAGAGAGGAGAUGUCAUCCACAUCCUCAGCAAGGAAUAUAACAUCCAUGGAUGGUGGGUUGGAGAGCUGGAUGGCGCUAUUGGCAUAGUCCCCAAGGAGUUUUUACAUCCUGCUUAUAUUCUAUGAGGUUUGCUUUUUGUGAAGAUCACAGAAUGUUCAGCGUUAUAACACUUUAACACCUCAUCAUGGUUUGAGAACUGUCAAUGGUUAGAUAAGAAUGUGAAUUCAACAUGCAUUUUAGCCCAUUUCUAGAACCUUAACCCUAUCCGAGACCAAAUAGAUUUUCUUACUUUUUUUUUGUAUAUAAGCCUUUUUAUAUAUUUCAUGAUUAGUGUACACUAAGAGGCUUGUCUAAAUCUACAUUUCACUGGUUUUCUGAUUUGUUCAAACAUAAGCCACAUUUAUGCAAAUGGUGUACAUAAGAAAAACAUUUGUAGUGUAAGAACUUCUCAUUUAUCAUCACUUAAAAGCUGUGUUCUAUUUCAACAGCACAAAAUAUUGAAUACAAUUAUCCUUUUUAAUGUACAAUUAAGACCGUGACUGCAAAGAGCCAUUAUCAGUUAUUCUUUAGUAUGUUGAAAGUUCUCAACUCUGCAUUUGUUUUUUUAAAUUGCUUAGUUCACAGUACUACUAGCAAUUUCAGUAGAUAUUACUCCAUGGAAAUAACCUGUCAUACCACAGUUUAAUUAAAAUAAAAAGCCUUGCCACUUUGGACUCAAGUAUAC